rnacentral:rRNA from 1 species
CUAUCACUCCUACGGGAGGCAGCAGUGGGGAAUAUUGCACAAUGGGCGCAAGCCUGAUGCAGCCAUGCCGCGUGUAUGAAGAAGGCCUUCGGGUUGUAAAGUACUUUCAGCAGUGAGGAAGGUAGUGUAGUUAAUAGCUGCAUUAUUUGACGUUAGCUGCAGAAGAAGCACCGGCUAACUCCGUGCCAGCAGCCGCGGUAAUACGGAGGGUGCGAGCGUUAUCCGGAUUUAUUGGGUUUAAAGGGUCCGUAGGCGGAUUAAUAAGUCAGUGGUGAAAUCCCAUCGCUUAACGAUGGAACUGCCAUUGAUACUGUUAGUCUUGAAUGAGGGUGCAGUGGUUGGAAUGUGUAGUGUAGCGGUGAAAUGCAUAGAUAUUACACAGAACACCGAUUGCGAAGGCAGAUCACUAACCCUAAAUUGACGCUGAGGGACGAAAGCGUGGGGAGCGAACAGGAUUAGAUACCCUGGUAG